rnacentral:rRNA from 1 species
UACAGAGGGGGCAAGCGUUAUUCGGAAUUAUUGGGCGUAAAGGGCGCGUAGGCGGCUUGGCAAGUGGAAGGUGAAAUCCCCGGUCGAAACCUCGAGGAACUGCCCUCCAAACUGCUUCGCUUGAGACCGGGGAGAGGUGAGUGGAAUUCCCAGUGUAGCGGUGAAAUGCGUAGAUAUUGGGAGGAACACCAGUGGCGAAGGCGGCUCACUGGACCGGGUACUGGACGCUGAUGCGCGAAAGCGUGGGGAGCAAACGGGG